AACGCUGGCGGCAGGCCUAACACAUGCAAGUCGAGCGGAUGAAGGGAGCUUGCUCCUGGAUUCAGCGGCGGACGGGUGAGUAAUGCCUAGGAAUCUGCCUGGUAGUGGGGGAUAACGUCCGGAAACGGGCGCUAAUACCGCAUACGUCCUGAGGGAGAAAGUGGGGGAUCUUCGGACCUCACGCUAUCAGAUGAGCCUAGGUCGGAUUAGCUAGUUGGUGGGGUAAAGGCCUACCAAGGCGACGAUCCGUAACUGGUCUGAGAGGAUGAUCAGUCACACUGGAACUGAGACACGGUCCAGACUCCUACGGGAGGCAGCAGUGGGGAAUAUUGGACAAUGGGCGAAAGCCUGAUCCAGCCAUGCCGCGUGUGUGAAGAAGGUCUUCGGAUUGUAAAGCACUUUAAGUUGGGAGGAAGGGCAGUAAGUUAAUACCUUGCUGUUUUGACGUUACCAACAGAAUAAGC
rnacentral:rRNA from 1 species